GUACAUGACAAUAUGAGUUUUGUAUUAUAUAUAUAUAGAACUGAGAUUAUGUGAGAAUUAAGGUGAAUGAUGAGAACUAAGAACUAAUCUGAACCCUUGAUUCAUUUGAUCCAACGGCUGAGAUGUUGUCCGCGUUUUUAACUUAGUAAUGACAUUUUGGUAAAUUAUUGAAUUAUACCCAAACAUAUCCACCGUUCUGAUUCACUUUCUCUCUCUUCUUCAUGCUUUCUCUCUCUUCCUCCAAAUUCUCUGUGAUCUAAGGCGAUUUUCUUGGGUUCGCUCACGAUUUCUUCGCUUUUGUUCAUCAAAUUCUAGCGUGUUUCUGUUAAGUUCUAGAGAACCUAUGAAUCGAACCUACACCUCUAUGCAUCCGCAUCGUGCUUUACCACUUGAGCUAAAAGAACACAGUAGCAGAUUUUAUUAAGGAAUGCUAGCAGAAUCUAGCAUAACAACAUCUAUUACACAAGGAGGAGCCUCCUCAAUCCAUACUCUCUACUAGCAUGAGUAAAUUUAAACUAUACACCCACUGCGAGAAGGCAGCCCUCAGCAUCGUGCAAUACAUCAGUACAACACCAAGCCCCACACCACACCUGGAAACAUAGCAGCAUUAGUGUUGACUCUAACAUUGCACAAACCCGGCUUCACCCAGCAAUUACGAGAAGGGAAUCUCUACCCACAAGCCUUACUCCCCACUGCCCCCUUAUACUCCUUACUGCCCCUUUAUACAUCUUGUAACUAUCUUUGAGCUAUGUGCUGAUCUGACAUGCUGUCAUGCUUAAGCAGUCAGUGGCAUUGAAAUCUACACAGCUUCUAUUUUGAGCUACUAGAGCAUCACACUUCACACUACAUGCUUAGUAUGAGCAAUAUAAUUUUUCCUUAAACAUAACCUGCCCAUGUACCACAAAUGGCUACACUUGCACAAUCAACAACACAACCAUCAACUACCCCUGUCAGAGCUACAUUCAGUGGACUCUAAUUAUGAUCUUGUUGUGAAUUGAACCUUUUAAAAUCAAUGCACUAGAACAUAAGUUGCAUAUCCAUCUUCAAAAAAACUACAUUUGUACUGCUGUCAUAUUGCCGAUAUUGACA